GGCGGGGUGGUUUAGUGGACUAUAAUCGUACAGUGGGGCUGUACGGACCCGGGUUCAAAUCCCGGCCCUGCCA
rnacentral:tRNA from 1 species